rnacentral:tRNA from 1 species
CCCUUCGUGGUGUAGUGGUCAGCAUGCUCGACGCGUAACCGAGAGGUCCAUGGUUCGAUUCCCGGCGAAGGCG